rnacentral:rRNA from 1 species
UACGGAGGAUGCGAGCGUUAUCCGGAUUUAUUGGGUUUAAAGGGUGCGUAGGCGGAUUAAUAAGUCAGUGGUGAAAACCUGCAGCUUAACUGUAGAACUGCCAUUGAUACUGUUAGUCUUGAGUACGGUCAAGGUAGGCGGAAUGUGUAAUGUAGCGGUGAAAUGCUUAGAUAUUACACAGAACACCGAUUGCGAAGGCAGCUUACUGGGCCAUUACUGACGCUGAUGCACGAAAGCGUGGGGAG